UACGUAGGGGGCAAGCGUUGUCCGGAUUUAUUGGGCGUAAAGAGCGUGUAGGCGGCCAGGUAGGUCUGCUGUGAAAACUCGAGGCUCAACCUCGGGCUUGCAGUGGAUACGGGCAGACUAGAGUGCGGUAGGGGAGACUGGAAUUCCCGGUGUAGCGGUGAAAUGCGCAGAGAUCGGGAGGAACACCGGUGGCGAAGGCGGGUCUCUGGGCCGUAACUGACGCUGAGGAGCGAAAGCAUGGGGAGCGAACAGG
rnacentral:rRNA from 1 species